ACAUUAGCUUGUUGGCGGGGCAACGGCCCACCAAGGCUACGAUGCGUAGGGGUUCUGAGAGGAAGGUCCCCCACACUGGUACUGAGACACGGACCAGACUCCUACGGGAGGCAGCAGUGAGGAAUAUUGGUCAAUGGACGGUAGUCUGAACCAGCCAAGUCGCGUGAGGGAUGACGGCCCUACGGGUUGUAAACCUCUUUUGCCGGGGAGUAACCCGCCCCACGUGUGGGGCGCUGAGAGUACCCGGCGAAUAAGCAUCGGCUAACUCCGUGCC
rnacentral:rRNA from 1 species